UAUGGCAAGUGAUGAAGACUUUUCAUAUGAACUGAUGAACCGUGUAGACAUACAACUCGCUUAUUAUCUGAUGCCAUU